rnacentral:snoRNA from 1 species
ACUGGAGGCUGUUGGGACCAAUUGGGACCAGUCGUGGCAAAACAAGUGUUUUGUCUACUCUUGCAGCCUUCCUAGAGUAAAGUGGAGGUCUCUGUCUGCUUUAGGAGAGCCAACUAAACUGGAUCGUUCCCCUCCAUACAUG